rnacentral:rRNA from 1 species
UACGAAGGGGGCUAGCGUUGCUCGGAUUGACUGGGCGUAAAGGGCGCGUAGGCGGUUUGCAUAGUCAGACGUGAAAUUCCGUGGGCUUAACCUGGGGGCUGCGUUUGAUACAUGCAGGCUUGAGUUCGGAAGAGGGUCGUGGAAUUCCCAGUGUAGAGGUGAAUUCGUAGAUAUUGGGAAGAACACCGGUGGCGAAGGCGGCGACCUGGUCCGAUGACUGACGCUGAGGCGCGAAGCGUGGGGAGC